GCUACAUCUUAUAGAGGAAAAGACGCGGAACCCCAAGAGCAGACUCCGCAGCGCAAAACCGGGGGUAUGGCUCUGCCCCAUUCCGUCUUUCUGCGAAUUAGUCUUGCGCCAAACACAACCAGAGCAGCCUCUAAAAACACAUUCCUGUGUAUUUAUCAGUAUCAGAGCUUAUACGCUGUCUGACUCUUUUAGAGAAUGAUGCAACUGGUCUUGACCUGCUGUUUUUGACGUCUUACUGAUUGAGUAAGUUCAGGGUAAUAACAUUCUCAAAGUUUCAAGUUAAAGUUGAACAAAUAAAUUCAAAUUGUAUUCUGGUGAUUUGCUUUCAUUUACCAUGAAAUUUUAAUUGGAUUUUUCCAUAAUUUCCGAUAAUUGUUAUUUGCACUGCCCUGCACUAUUACCAAUAAGAGCCGUCGUCAAAAUGAUGCUCGUGAGCUUAUUAAUAUACUGGGCAAUAGUUUCUCUCGUACAAGGUUUGCCUGGUGCUAAGGGGUACAGAAACUCCGGGGAAGUCGCUAAAAUAGGGAUUCAGCCUGAACCGACAUGUGAAGAACUAAAGGCAAUGUGGAGGUUUUCAAAAAGACAAUCACGUGCUGCGGAACUGACAAAUGAGCUUCCAAUGUAUCCGGACCCUUUUGCUGAAAAUGUGUGGCAAAAUUAUUACGCUACAUCCAGAAGUAUUGCAGGGAGAAGACCUGUUGCCUUUGGCAAGAUUUCGUAUGCUCCGUCAAAAAAUAAAAUAAACCCAGAAUAUCUAAUGCCAUAUUUACAAUAUGGUCCCCAGACAGCACAACCAAGACGGCGACCAGCUACUUCAUUUAGGUUGCCAGGUGGCGGAAAUAUUAUCUCUAAUUAUCCUCCUCAAGCUGGCUCAUUUGAUCACCUGAAGGAACUCAUUAAGACGGAAAGAGCUCGAGAACUGCAGCAACAAAGAUUAGUUGAAGAAAAUGCUGCCAGGGCAGCAGUCAUGAAGGAUACUGGACGACACCAACCUGGACGAUACACCACUGAUCAUUUUUCAUAUCACAUGGUCGAGCCUCAAGAAAUUCUAUUUUCAUCUGAUAUGCCCGAGAUUGAGGAAGACGAGCCCAUCCCAGUCGAAGACCGAACUGGAAUAAUAACUUUUCCUGAUAUUUUGGCACCAAAAGAACGUAUGAGCCCUGAAAUGCCAAUUUAUAACAGGGAUCACCCCCGUAUGCGUUCUCAUGGUCCAAACCUUUUUGAUGCAAGCUUCUUUCCGGAAGAAUAUGGUGGAUAUAUGCUUUAAGUGCGUAAGUAAAGCCGCAUCAGUAUUAUGGUAAAAGUACUAUUGUUAAUCAAUUGGAUGGUCCGCUAUUACAAAAUGUCAAAUUAAAGAUGAUCGUUUCGUCCAACACAAAGGAAAUAUUCAUGAAUGGAUUUCAGUAAUUUUACACACAACUUUCAGUUCAAAUAGUAGAUACCAACUUCCAUCAAAUGGACGAGGCGGAAAAAAUGAAAUUAUAGCAAAGCAUUUAGCAGCAGAACAGCCUAGCAUACAUUUUUACUUGCUAGUACAAAAUAUUAUUAAGAAACACUAAAUGAAACACAUAAACAAUGAAAAAUAGAUUCGUCGUUUUUCUGGGUUGUUGAAUAUGACACUGCUAGUUAGUAUAUUUUUAAUGGAUGAAGCCCAAUUUUUCAAAUGUAACUCAAGGAAAAUGUACGAAAAGGCUAAAAUUCUUAAAAACAUCUGAUGCUAUAAUUCAUUAUGUUAUAUACAUACUCUAAAAACAUUUCUACAUGAGCAGUAAUUUUUAAGAUAGAUUUUAAUAUGCUUUGAGGCUGAAUGUAAUUUAUAAACAUAUCCAAACACAUCUUGUAUCUCCCAAUAUCAAUGUCUGCAUAUCUCCAAAUAUCAUCCAUCGAUUAAUACACAUCACAUUACAUUUUACUAAUUUAUUACUAGUUGAAGAUAAAUACUUUCAAUGUUACGAGAUCGCAGAUUAAAUAACGUGAAUUACAAAAGGCAGUAUAGUUCCCAUGUACUCGUAUGUACUAUAUGUCGUUGAAACAUAAGAUUCUGUAAGUAAAGGUUCCAUUCUUCAGCAUGAGAAGUGGGGUAAGCAGUCUUUUAAUGUACACCGAUUUAAAUUAAUGCACUCAGAUUUGUUAUGAUAAUAUUUACCAAGCAUAUUUUCCGUAUUAUAUUGCUCGUCGCUUCUUAAAGUCCACAAAUUAGUUUUACGUUUGAAACGGUCUUAAAUUUCUAAUUUUAUCUAGUAAUUUGGCUGAUUAAAGUUGCUUGUUUCUUAUUAUCGAUGUUUAAGUAUAUCUAUAUCUAUCUCUAUUCAAAUAAAGCCCAUAAUAUGUAACAAGCUUGCCUCCUAUCGUUUGUAAAUCACAUUUUUAGUCUAUUUUAUUAUAUCCUUUUUUAACUUAACUCAAAUGCUCAUGUUGUGUUUCGACGAAUGAAAUUAAAAUGUUGAACUAGCCGUUAAUUGAUUCAAAUUAGAUUUCAAUCUUCCAAGUAAUAAGUACCUAUCAGUGAAAAAUUGGAAAAAAUAUUUGAGUGCCCCAUUUUCGUUCACUUAUUUAAAACUAUUCUAUAAAAUAUCCUUAUUUGUGAAACAUUAAAGUUCAUUUGCUAGUUUACAUACACUGUUAUAUACCUACCUACCUACAUACAUAUUUAUACAAUAGAAUAAUUAUUUGCCUAUUCACCUUUUCGUACCUUAUUAGGUAAAUUAUGUAUACACUAAAGCUGUCUUCGGUCUUAAAUAGUUGAGAAAUUGUUUGUCUGAUUUCUUGUCUUGUCGUUAUGUUAUGUCAAUGGGUAGCAAUGAAUUGAGCUGAAACCUUUCUUCUAUAGCAGUUGCUGAUUAUAGCAUUUAGAUUAUAUUAACAGUGUUCCUACAUUUUAGUCAGUACCUACACAUUAUUUUUAAAGGACAAAAAAUAAACGCUAGAUCUUUCUUCACGUGAUGAACAUACGAAGUCGGCGUAAUCGCCUUCAGUUCGUCAAAGUUGUUAUUACCACAGUAUUUUUAUAUACAAUACGAAUCUGAAAUUUUUAUACUAGAUGCAAAUAUCCAUAGGAAAAUUGCUACAACAUUGCCUUUUGAAGCUUCAUUCCUUACAAGUAGUUUACAUGCAUGUUUCACUUUAAUUUGGUCCUAUUCUAUUAUUUGGCUAAACCGAUAAAUAAGUCAUAUAGGUAUACAUAUCUCAUCUAUAGUAAUUUUGGUUUACGCUAACAAUUACAAAGGAGUAAGCAAACAUUGUUUCCGAUUAAAAUGACCACGAUCACAUUCCGUUAGUAUUUUAAAUACUAACUUUCAAUUACUGAAAGACUUGCAUUAAUACACACUUUAUUCGCAACAACCGUAGAAAUACUUUUUAAUAUGAGAGCUAACGCAGACAAUAAUACAUAGGUACGUAAUGUAUUUGAUAGAUAGUACCGAAAUUAUUUUAUUCUGGUAUUUAUAUUUGCAAACAUGUCUUUGUUCAUGAAACAUUUUGCGUCUCUAUAAAUAUGAUCCUGAUUAAGUAAUUCUUGAUUAUAUUCAGCAGAACUAUAGUGUUGCACUACGUUGUUCCAAGGGAACUACUGACAAUAAAA
rnacentral:misc_RNA from 1 species